rnacentral:rRNA from 1 species
UGACCGCUGGCGGCGUGCCUAAUACAUGCAAGUCGAGCGCCCAGAUAAGGAGCUUGCUCCUUUGACGUUAGCGGCGGACGGGUGAGUAACACGUGGGUAACCUACCUAUAAGACUGGGAUAACUUCGGGAAACCGGAGCUAAUACCGGAUAACAUUUGGAACCGCAUGGUUCUAAAGUGAAAGAUGGUUUUGCUAUCACUUAUAGAUGGACCCGCGCCGUAUUAGCUAGUUGGUAAGGUAACGGCUUACCAAGGCAACGAUACGUAGCCGACCUGAGAGGGUGAUCGGCCACACUGGAACUGAGACACGGUCCAGACUCCUACGGGAGGCAGCAGUAGGGAAUCUUCCGCAAUGGGCGAAAGCCUGACGGAGCAACGCCGCGUGAGUGAUGAAGGGUUUCGGCUCGUAAAACUCUGUUAUUAGGGAAGAACAAACGUGUAAGUAACUGUGCACGUCUUGACGGUACCUAAUCAGAAAGCCACGGCUAACUACGUG